UACGAAGGGGGCUAGCGUUGUUCGGAAUUACUGGGCGUAAAGGGUGCGUAGGCGGGUUUUUAAGUCAGGGGUGAAAUCCUGGAGCUCAACUCCAGAACUGCCUUUGAUACUGGGGAUCUUGAGUUCGAGAGAGGUGAGUGGAACUGCGAGUGUAGAGGUGAAAUUCGUAGAUAUUCGCAAGAACACCAGUGGCGAAGGCGGCUCACUGGCUCGAUACUGACGCUGAGGUGCGAAAGCGUGGGGAGCAAACAGG
rnacentral:rRNA from 1 species